rnacentral:rRNA from 1 species
UGAGUAACACGUAUCCAACCUGCCGUCUGCUCUUGGCCAGCCUUCUGAAAGGAAGAUUAAUCCAGGAUGGCAUCAUGAGUUCACAUGUCCGCAUGAUUAAAGGUAUUUUCCGGUAGACGAUGGGGAUGCGUUCCAUUAGAUAGUAGGCGGGGUAACGGCCCACCUAGUCAACGAUGGAUAGGGGUUCUGAGAGGAAGGUCCCCCACAUUGGAACUGAGACACGGUCCAA